GAGAGGAUAUAUGUCCCGUUGCUAUUCCUUGUAAGAAAUAUUUUCAAAAGAAAAUAUGACAGAUUUUCAAUGAUUUACGUACAAAGUAUUCAAAGAUGAGCACCCAGAGAGCAUGUUGUUUGAUCUUUUUAAAUAUUAUGCUACAAACUGUCAAGUUGUCGACUACGGCUUUCCAAAAUUGCCCCGCUUCGACAUCGACAGUGUCCUAUACCAAAUGUCCACACACACAUGAAGAGUGGAUGGCUGCAACAGACGAAAAAAUUGCUCAAGCAUUUCCCAAAACUGUACUAGUCCAGAAAAUUUCAGAUAUCAUUGUGUUUCAAACGCCUUCAUGAAUGAAACUAUUGAAGUGUGUGCUCCUGGAUUAUUUCUUUUAGGAUUUUGUCCAGAAUAUAAUUUCCGUGGUGAACGAAUACAAGAUAACUACAAUGCUGAUUGUAAACAUUACGCACAGCCUUGUGCAAACAGAUACGAAUCUUGGAAGUCCUACAAAUUUCCAGAAUGUGUUGCUGUGAAAAACACAAAGCACAGAAGUAAAU